rnacentral:misc_RNA from 1 species
AUUUCAUUUUCUGCAGCCCAGCUAGGCAGCUCCUGCUCCCUGCGUUGCCUACUCUCCGGCGUUCCAUCCGCUGUUUCUCUGGUCCUCUGCGGCUCUGCCAUUGCAAGCAAGCCUGCAACAGCAAACACCACUAGUUCCCUCCAUUCCCACUCUCCAGUCCUCCACGCGGACCUCGCUCUCACUUGCCUGGUCCUCCUCCCCUUUCUCAGAUAACUCCCCCUCAUUUUGAUCCUGUUCCUGUAGGCGAUAGAUUUAUAUUUUUCC